rnacentral:lncRNA from 1 species
CUUGGGUGCUGGGAAGAGGCACAUGUCACACGUGCAAGAAGGUCCAAGGAUGAGAUUAAAAAUUCCACAAAGGUCCAAAUUCUAGGGCCCAGACAGAAGAGAAGAGUCACAUCAUCUAGAUGAUGAAUGAAAAGAUAUGUCAUUAUUCUCCUUUGGGCAGUGCUUCUGCAGAAAAGUUGCACCUUCUAGGUGUUGGACUCAGCAAUAUAUCACAAUGUCUGCAGUAUUUUGGAAGGAGAGGAGAGUCACCAUUACUUAGUCUAUCUUCAAUUUACAGACCUUGGCUUUUCUACCCCAAUUCAAGAAGUCACUUCUUCAGUCAACCAAACCAAUUACAAAAUUGUGUUCCAAUGUCACAUGUUCAAAAAUAAACAGUUCCUGAAA